AAGAAAUGACAAGACUAAGAAGUCAUGAAAGGAAUGAUGAGAGUAGGCAGCGCUCAUGGGAAAACAAGAAAAUGUAAAGCCAUUGUGUAAAUGAAACCACAUUUAAAUCAUUAGGAGGCAUAAAUAUUGCAGAAAUAAAGAGGACUGCUAUGAGGAAAUAAAACAGAGAGGAAAAAAGGCAAUAAAAGCAGCAAAAAAGGUGAUAGAUAUGGAAGAGAGAAAACUGAACUAACAUGUGGGUGGAAGUUGUUCUCUCCCAGGAGAACUCUUUUCUUAAAAGAGAGUACUGUUAGCCUGCUCUUUAAUUCUCUAGUUUUCAGUGUGAGGUUAUCUGAAUGAUGUAUUCACAAAAUUUGUAUAACCGUCUAAGUAGGGCCAUGAGUUGUGCAACUCAGGAGGCAUCCUCAUGGAAAAUGAAGGUGAACUGUGCUUCUGGAGGCACCAGGAACACCCAGUUCUGGGAGAUCUAUGCCCCCAGGAGAUAUAGAUAUUUGCCUAUGUUGCAGGCAACAGAAAAUCUUACCAAAUACGCUCUGACAGAAAACACUAGCAUCCAUGAGUCAAUCUUGCAAAUUGUCUUAAAGACAACGUAGAGUCAAUCAAGACUUAGAUCAAGAUGCAUGAUUUAGGUCUUAGACAUACACUAUAUUAAAGGAGAGUGGUGUGGGGUGGUGGGGGAUAAGAAUGGCCCUUUAUAAAGUAGGUACUGGGGCACCUGAGUGUCUCAAUUGGUUAAGUGUCCAACUUCAGCUCAGGUCAUGAUCAUGCGGUUCAUGAGUUCAAGCCCCUCAUUGGGUUCUGUGCCGACAGCUCAGAGGCUGCUUGGUAUUCUCUGUCUCUUCCUCUCUCUCUGCUAGUCGCCAACACAUGCACGCAUUCUCUCUCUCUCAAAAUAAAUAAAUAAACUAAAAAAAUAAAAAUAAAAGUAGGUUCUUUUUGAAUUUUCAUCUAAAAAGCUUGUACUAUUUUAAAAAUAAUCAAGACCUAGUUUUUAAAAGUCACCUUGUUUAGCUCUAUUUGAGCUAACACUAAAUAUGAUACUUUCUUUCCAACAUCAAGUAUUAUCCUAACAAUUAUAGUCGUAUAUUGUUUUAGAAUUGAAGAAAGUAUUUCCUCAAUAAGAUAACAUCUUAUUAAUAUGGUAACCUCAUUACAUUGGGGUGCUAUCUCUGUUGUACAUAACUUACCCUAGGUCAUCUAAUCACAACAUGUGGACAUGGGGUCCCUUGGCCACACAGUUGAUAAAAAGUACUUAAAAUACUUGGAAGUCACAGCCAAACUAGAAUCAAGUAAGACUCAGAACUGAGUUUUCUGAGGUACUACGAUGGCUGGGAAUGGGUAGGGGUGGAUAUAAGCAUAUAAAAUUUAGCGUUAAAGUCAAGCAUCUAGACAGGUUCUCUUUUCUGUAAGUCUUCGGGUUUGUUAGAGUUUCCCAUAUUUUAUAUUUCUUUUGAAUUACAAUCUCAUUUCAAAAAUAAAAUAAUUUGAAUAAACUUAUGUUUUUUCAAAGUGUCCAUUUCUAAAUCAAAACUGGACCCCAGCUUUGAAUAUGAACUCUAAGCAAUCUUGAAUCUACCUCUUUGCCUUUGAAUUCACCAAGGAAACAAAGUCUAGAUUCAGUCUGAGACUAAUUUUAUGAUUCUGUGGGUUUUUCUUUCUUUCUUUUUUUUUUUUUUUCUUUUUUUGUCAAAAUGUUGAGAUACAGAUCGCUAAGGAUCCAGAUACAGAUUUAGGGUAAAGAAAUGAAAGAUCCGAAAACUAGAAUUUGCUAGGCAGACUAGUGGGAGGGUCCUUUUGUGAUGAAAUGUUGCAUAAAUAAUGCCGAUGGGGGUCUAAAUUCACUGUUGCCAUGGAGACCUUUGUGCCUGGCUGAACUCAAUUCUUUUCUCUUUUAAGACUGCUACCACUAGGCUUGUGGUGUCUCUGAUGCCUCUUUGCUUUGCUUUCUCUUAAACUGUUGGCGAGUGAAAGAAGAAAUUAAACUAUGAUAAUUUGGCAUCCUGACUUUUGCGAGACUGUUCUUCCACUCCAUUCGUGAUUUUUGAGCUCCUCUGGGGUUCCUUUUAGCCCUGGCUCGGGGAGGGAGGAGCAGGUGCAGAAACGGCUGAAACCCCCGAAGGCUGCCUGGAAAGAGGGAAAAGUAACCCCUCAUCUUUGUGACUAGUCGACUUGUUGGCCUCGACUACAGUUUUGAAGUAUUUAAGGACCAUUUGUUUCCAAAGUACCUUAUAUUCAGCAAAUCGAUGUUGAGUUCCUCCCUGGUACUAAACAUUGUAUGCCAUGAACAAAAAGGAAAGAGGAAGUUCCCAGAGUCCAUGAACUAAAAAAUCUGGUGCAGAUGAAGAUAUGAGAACUUGUAACUGUAAUGCAGUAAAAAUUACUGCUGUAAUGGAGCCUGGCCAAGGAGAGCCAGAAACACUGCUGAACUUGAUACAGUACAUUAAAAUAUGAUUAUUUGAUCUUCCCAAACCAAAACGAGGAAAGAAUCAGUGACGUGCACAAUAUAAUUGUUAAAGCACGACUGUAAAGAUAGUUUUUAAAUAGUAGCCAGAGAAAUCCUCUGGAAACGUAAAUCCUAACAUUUAAAAAGUUUCGACUAUUUUUAGUCUAAAAUUUUACUAUAUGCAGAGUCAAGGUCAAAGACCAUGCAGUCGCCCAAGCCCCUCAAUCGUGUGUCUCCUACCACCCCUGGCUCUCCCACCUUUCCUAAAUCGUAACCUCUUGCCCACUUUGCUCCAGCAUAGAACCUCCUUGCCAUUUGUAGAACCAUCACAUGGCCUUGGCACUUGCCAUUCUUUUCUGCUGAAAACAGAAAACAGCAGCCCCCAACCAGAAUCCAGCCCAGAUAUACACGUGCCCCCUUCCCCUCGUGUCUCUCAGGUGUCUGAUCAGAGGUCACCUUAUCGAUGAGUCGGGUCUUGAUAACCAUUGCCUCCCUGUCUUCUUUUCUUGCAUUAUUUUUCUCCUCCACCUUUACCACAGAUGGUACUCUAAGUAACCCAUUGGUCCAUCUUGUUCCACGUCCAUUUGUUUCUACCAGAACGUGAACUCCAUAAGAACAGGGAUUUUUGUCUAACAUUUUUACUGAUGCAUUCCCAGCACCUAGACCCUCGCGUGCCUUAUUUAUUGAACAAAUGAUGAACUAAAUAUAAAUUUCCUGGCACCAAAUAUACAGUGUUCUACUUUGGUGUUGUUGUUGUUUUUCGAUUUUUUUAAAAUAAAGUAGAAAUUUUCACAUUUA